rnacentral:rRNA from 1 species
UACGGGGGGGGCAAGCGUUGUUCGGAAUUACUGGGCGUAAAGGGCUCGUAGGCGGCCAACUAAGUCAGACGUGAAAUCCCUCGGCUUAACCGGGGAACUGCGUCUGAUACUGGAUGGCUUGAGAUUGGGAGAGGGAUGCGGAAUUCCAGGUGUAGUGGUGGAAUGCGUAGAGAUCCGGAGGAACACCAGCGGCGAAGGCGGCAUCCUGGACUGGUCCUGACACUCAGGAGCGAAAGCGUGGGGAGCGAUCCGG